CGUAACCGAGCGACCUUCGUUCCCAUCUUAUAAAUUCCUGCACACCCGAUGGGCAAUCCUUCAACCAAUCAACCAGACCCCCCUGAUUCCGAUCGAAAACAUCGCCUCAAUCCUCCGUCAAGAUGCAGAUCUUCGUGAAGACCCUCACCGGCAAGACUAUCACCCUUGAGGUGGAGUCCUCUGACACCAUUGACAAUGUUAAGGCAAAGAUCCAGGACAAGGAGGGCAUCCCGCCAGACCAGCAGCGCCUGAUCUUCGCUGGCAAGCAGCUCGAGGACGGCCGCACGCUCACCGAUUACAACAUUCAGAAGGAGUCCACUCUGCACUUGGUGCUCCGCCUCCGUGGUGGCCAGUGAGUCGUUUGGAAGGUGGUAGUCGUCUCUAUGUUUAUGUACGCGUCGUGUCAUCGUGUGUUACUGCUGUCAGUGUCUUAGUCCCAUUUUUUUGUCCCAUAUUUUGUGUAUGAACAUCUGCUGCUGUAAUAGUAGCGUGGCCUCUGUUUUGUUUGAA